rnacentral:rRNA from 1 species
UACGUAGGUGGCGAGCGUUGUCCGGAUUUACUGGGCGUAAAGGGCGUGCAGGCGGUUUGUUAAGUGCAGGGUGAAAGCUCCCGGCUCAACUGGGAGAGGUCCUUGCAUACUGGCGAACUCGAGGGAGGCAGAGGAAAGUGGAAUUCCCGGUGUAGUGGUGAUAUGCGUAGAUAUCGGGAGGAACACCUGUGGCGAAGGCGGCUUUCUGGGCCUUACCUGACACUGAGACGCGAAAGCGUGGGGAGCGAACCGG